rnacentral:rRNA from 1 species
AAAGUUUGAUCCUGGCUCAGGAUGAACGCUAGCGGCAGGCCUAAUACAUGCAAGUCGAGGGGCAGCGCGGUAGCAAUACUGGCGGCGACCGGCGCACGGUGCGUAACACGUAUGCAACCUACCUUCAACUGGAGGAUAGCCCGGGGAAACUCGGAUUAAUACUCCAUAACACAGGGAUCCCGCAUGGGAAUAUUGUUAAAGCUACGGCGGUUGAAGAUGGGCAUGCGUUCGAUUAGCUAGUUGGUGUAGGUAACGGCUCACCAAGGCUACGAUCGAUAGGGGGUCUGAGAGGAUGAUCCCCCACACUGGUACUGAGAUACGGACCAGACUCCUACGGGAGGCAGCAGUAGGGAAUAUUGGUCAAUGGGCGCAAGCCUGAACCAGCCAUGCCGCGUGCAGGAAGAAGGCCCUCUGGGUUGUAAACUGCUUUUGAUAGGGAACAAAUGCCACUUGCGAGUGGAGCUGAGUGUACCUAUAGAAUAAGCACCGGCUAACUCCGUG